UACGUAGGGUGCAAGCGUUGUCCGGAAUUAUUGGGCGUAAAGAGCUCGUAGGCGGUCUGUCGCGUCUGCUGUGAAAACUCAGGGCUUAACCCUGAGCUUGCAGUGGGUACGGGCAGACUAGAGUGCGGUAGGGGAGACUGGAAUUCCUGGUGUAGCGGUGAAAUGCGCAGAUAUCAGGAGGAACACCCGUGGCGAAAGCGGCUCUCUGGAACGGUACUGACGCUGAGACACGAAAGCCAGGGGAGCAAACGGG
rnacentral:rRNA from 1 species